rnacentral:misc_RNA from 1 species
AGCAGCCGCGGUAAUUCCAGCUCCAAUAGCGUAUAUUAAAGUUGUUGCAGUUAAAAGCUCGUAGUUGAAUUUUGGGUCUGGCCGGGCGGUCCGCCCUCUGGGUGAGCACUGUUCCGACGCCGGGCCUAUCCUUCUGGUGAGUCGGCAUGUCCUUUAUUGGGUGUGCCGGGGAACCAGGACCAUUACCUUGAAAAAUUAGAGUGUUCAAAGCAGGCGUAUGCUCGGAUACAUUAGCAUGGAAUAAUGAAAUAGGACGCGUGGUGCUAUUUUGUUGGUUUCUAGAACCGCCGUAAUGAUUAAUAGGGAUAGGUUGGGGGCAUUAGUAUUCAAUUGUCAGAGGUGAAAUUCUUGGAUUUAUUGAAGGCUAACUUCUGCGAAAGCAUUUGCCAAGGAUGUUUUCAUUAAUCAAGAACGAAAGUUAGGGAUCGAAGACGAUCAGAUACCGUCGUAGUCUUAACCAUAAACUAUGCCGACUAGGAAUCGGGCGAUGUUAUUCUCAUGACUUCGCCGGCGUCC